rnacentral:misc_RNA from 1 species
GAUGAAGAACGUAGCGAAAUGCGAUAAGUAAUGCGAAUUGCAGAAUCCGUGAGUCAUCGAAUCUUUGAACGCACAUUGCGCCCUCUGGUAUUCCGGAGGGCAUGCCUGUUCGAGCGUCAUUACAACCCUCAGGCCCCCGGGCCUGGCGUUGGGGAUCGGCGGAAGCCCCCUGCGGGCACAACGCCGUCCCCCAAAUACAGUGGCGGUCCCGCCGCAGCUUCCAUUGCGUAGUAGCUAACACCUCGCAACUGGAGAGCGGCGCGGCCACGCCGUAAAACACCCAACUUCUGAAUGUUGACCUCGAAUCAGGUAGGAAUACCCGCUGAACUUAAGCAUAUCAAUAAGCGGAGGA